rnacentral:rRNA from 1 species
UACGUAGGGUGCGAGCGUUAAUCGGAAUUACUGGGCGUAAAGCGUGCGCAGGCGGGCUUUUAAGCCAGACGUGAAAUCCCCGGGCUUAACCUGGGAAUGGCGUUUGGGACUGGGAGUCUGGAGUGCGGCAGAGGAGACUGGAAUUCCUGGUGUAGCAGUGAAAUGCGUAGAUAUCAAGAGGAACACCUGAGGCGAAGGCGGGUUGCUAGGCUGACACUGACGCUGAGUGCGCGAAAGCCAGGGGAGCAAACGGG